AGCGAACGCUGGCGGUAGGCCUAACACAUGCAAGUCGAACGGCAGCACAGUAAGAGCUUGCUCUUACGGGUGGCGAGUGGCGGACGGGUGAGGAAUACAUCGUAAUCUACUUUUUCGUGGGGGAUAACGUAGGGAAACUUACGCUAAUACCGCAUACGACCUACGGGGGAAAGCAGGGGAUCUUCGGACCUUGCGCGAUUGAAUUAGCCGAUGUCGGAUUAGCUAGUUGGCGGGGUAAAGGCCCACCAAGGCGACGACCCGUAGCUGGUCUGAGAGGAUGAUCAGCCACACUGGAACUGAGACACGGUCCAGACUCCUACGGGAGGCAGCAGUGGGGAAUAUUGGACAAUGGGCGCAAGCCUGAUCCAGCCAUACCGCGUGGGUGAAGAAGGCCUUCGGGUUGUAAAGCCCUUUUGUUGGGAAAGAAAAGCAGCAGGUUAAUACCCCGCUGUUCUGACGGUACCCAAAGAAUAAGCACCGGCUAACUUCGUG
rnacentral:rRNA from 1 species